ACCAGACUCCUACGGGAGGCAGCAGUGGGGAAUAUUGCACAAUGGGCGAACGCCUGAUGCAGCCACGCCGCGUGAAGGAAGACGGUUUUCGGAUUGCAAACUUCUUUUCUUAGUGAAGAAUAAUGACGGUAACUAAGGAGCAAGCCACGGCUAACUACGUGCCAGCAGCCGCGGUAAUACGUAGGCGGCAAGCGUUGUCCGGAAUUACUGGGUGUAAAGGGAGCGUAGGCGGGAAGCCAAGUCAGCUGUGAAAACUACGGGCUUAACCUGUAGACUGCAGUUGAAACUGGCUUUCUUGAGUGAAGUAGAGGUUGGCGGAAUUCCGAGUGUAGCGGUGAAAUGCGUAGAUAUUCGGAGGAACACCGGUGGCGAAGGCGGCCAACUGGGGUUUAACUGACGCUGAGGCACGAAAGCGUGGGUAGCAAACAGGAUUAGAUACCCCAGUA
rnacentral:rRNA from 1 species